GAAGCGUCUGGAAAGGCGCGCGAUACAGGGUGACAGCCCCGUACACAAAAGCGCAUGUGCUGUGAGCUCGAUGAGUAGGGCGGGACACGUGGUAUCCUGUCUGAAUAUGGGGGGACCAUCCUCCAAGGCUAAAUACUCCUGACUGACCGAUAGUGAACCAGUACCGUGAGGGAAAGGCGAAAAGAACCCCGGCGAGGGGAGUGAAAAAGAACCUGAAACCGUGUACGUACAAGCAGUGGGAGCACAGGUUUACCUGUGUGACUGCGUACCUUUUGUAUAAUGGGUCAGCGACUUAUAUUCUGUAGCAAGGUUAACCGAAUAGGGGAGCCGGAGGGAAACCGAGUCUUAAUUGGGCGUUAAGUUGCAGGGUAUAGACCCGAAACCCGGUGAUCUAGCCAUGGGCAGGUUGAAGGUUGGGUAACACUAACUGGAGGACCGAACCGACUAAUGUUGAAAAAUUAGCGGAUGACCUGUGGCUGGGGGUGAAAGGCCAAUCAAACCGGGAGAUAGCUGGUUCUCCCCGAAAGCUAUUUAGGUAGCGCCUCGUGAAUUCAUCUCCGGGGGUAGAGCACUGUUUCGGCUAGGGGGCCAUCCCGGCUUACCAACCCGAUGCAAACUGCGAAUACCGGAGAAUGUUAUCACGGGAGACACACGGCGGGUGCUAACGUCCGUCGUGAAGAGGGAAACAACCCAGACCGCCAGCUAAGGUCCCAAAGUCAUGGUUAAGUGGGAAACGAUGUGGGAAGGCCCAGACAGCCAGGAUGUUGGCUUAGAAGCAGCCAUCAUUUAAAGAAAGCGUAAUAGCUCACUGGUCGAGUCGGCCUGCGCGGAAGAUGUAACGGGGCUAAACCAU
rnacentral:rRNA from 1 species